GCCGCCUUAGCUCAGCCGGCCAGAGCAUCCGCCUUGUAAGCGGAGGGUCGUCGGUUCGACUCCGACAGGCGGCUCCA
rnacentral:tRNA from 1 species